GCUUCUCAUGCCUGGCUGCACAUUAAAUUGGAAGUCUGAGAGAUUCCUUCAGCCAGUCCUGCCCCAGCUGGACACAGAAUCUGAGGUCCAGAUGGUACUCCUUUCAGAAGCUCCUCAGAGGAUUUCCAGGCACCGCCCAAGGCAAACACUGCUGACUGGACCCUAAGCACAAGUGAUGGGAUGGGGACGUGCAAGAUGCCACAAGCAGGUGAGAAGUUACUGCCACAAGAUUUCAGGUGAGCAAAGGAAAGCGCGUGGGGCCCCACCGCACCUCCUGUCCCUGCACCCCAGCUGCAUGCCAGCUUUGACAGCUUAUUUUCCCCAUCAGGACCAAAAUGAUGUUUUAAUGUGAAUGGAUGUCUCAAUGUGGAUAAAAACAGCUGUUGGGUGAGAGGGCAAGUCUGUGUGAUGCCUGGAUUCUCCUUCUACAUCCCACCUUGGCCGGGCAGAUGUCUUGGGAGACCCCAAGCCAGGUCGCUGCUGUCUGCUUCCUGGGGAAAACCUUCUGUGCUUCACUUACUUUUCCCUCGAAUUGGAUUCCUCCAUUCAAGGUGAAGUUUGUUUUUCUUUGACUGCCCUUCACAGUUUCUUCUCCUUCCCAAGGGGUGGGGUAGGGCAGGGCUCUGCCCUCAGCCAUGUUUUCUUCAACUCUCUCUGGAUAGUCUCCCAGUGUGGCACAGAUGAGGCUCCAUCACACCUACCGCAGGGCAACAUGGCCAUUGAUCUCCAGGUAGAGAGAAAUUACCCCACAUGAAAGCCACUGCCUCACCGUGGGUAAAUAGGGGGUCUCAUCAUCAGGUCCAAGUUCCCUAUACUCAACCAUCCUGGGUUGAUUUUCCAUUUUAACUCCCUGUGGGGGAAAUUGGUGUGUCUCUGUGUGUGAUGGGGUGGGGAAAGCAAACAACUGGGGUGAGAGGAAAGAGUAGAAAUGAGGGUGCCUAGGUUCUGGUGCAAAUUUCCCACAAAUUACCUUUAUGGACAUAGAUUGCCUCGAGAUUAGACCACAUUGGGGGUUCCCUAUAGAUGUCCUUUCUUGAGACACCAGGGGUCUGGAGGUCUCUUUUAAUAAUUCUGAGACUUGAUCAGAUGUCUCCCAAUUAUUAAAUUUGGGAGCCACUACCCUACGUGACAUUUGCGAUUCCUCUUAGUUACAAUAUUUUCUGAACUUCCCCAUCCUCUGCUCUGCAGCCUGGUGAGGCCAAGACCUCCUGGGCUGGGAAUUUCCAAGCCACCACGGUAGGCCCAUCUGCCUGAGUAGUGUCUGGGAGGUAUGUGUUGGCUCUCAGGGUCAUUUUAAAUAAUGAACCCGGCAGGGAAAAUCACAGUGGUAACCUAUCCCUGGGCUGCUUUCCAGCCCCACGGCCCUCCCCGGCCAUCCUCCUUUGGCUGUUGAGAGCUUUGGUUACUCUUGGGCAAUGCCCUGUCAUGUGGCAGUUGUGGAUUUAAUUUAAUGAGGGCCACGUUGGUGUUAACUGCCUUCCCUAGUCAUGCUAGUAAUUGGAUGCCAGGCCUAUCUGCAGGGUUUUUAGUGUUUAGAACAGAUGGCUGUGUUGCAACCCCUAUUGCCACAUGGCCCAGGGUGACUCCCCAACAUUCUUCUGCCAAGAGAAUAGCAGUGUCUUCCUCACCAAAGACGAGAAAGCUCUGGGCAGAAAGAAACACAUGAGGAGAAGGGUGCCCAGAGUGUCCAGCCUGCGGGUGACUGCUGAGUGGCCACUCCAGCUGUGGGGGAAGGGGUGUUCAUGUGCCUUCUCCUUUUCCUGGCUGGAGCAGCUGAAACUGAAAGUUCUGGCAAACAACCUGGCAUUUUGCUAAUCUGCUGUUACUUCCCUGUGCAGUAACAGCAAUUGCUGGGGGCCUGCCAUGUACCCGGCCACACCCUUCUCGAACGUGCACAUCUGCUGCUCUUUCAUCUUUGUGAGCUCAUCAACAUCUUUACCUUUCCAGGCUCAGCUCAGACACCACUUUGUCCUGCCUGGGAAAGUGAGCUUGGCUCACAUCUUCUGAAUCCUGCGAUACUGUCUCCAGUGCAUUAGCGUGGCUCCCCUGCUGGCCCCGCAAGCCUUUUACUUACCUGUGUGUGUCUCAGCUGCUUGCGGGUUUGCAGGGUCCAUGGAGGCAGGUGGGGGCCUCAGCCCUUGUUACCAGCUCACUGGGGUACACUCUGCAGGCUGGCGUCAAUGGCUCUGAGUGUGCACAUUAAAUCUUAAGCAAAUAUUGUUGGGUUUGGGGCUCCUUUGCCUUUAUCAGAGCAGGAAAUGAAUAUGUUGCAGGAAGAAAAUUUCUUAAACCCUCUGAAGGCACUGAGUUAGUGUCUGGAAAGUCCUUGUGAAUUAGGACUGUUCGGUUCCUGGUGUUCUUUCUGGCUCUUGUCCCCUUCCUAGCCAGGGGUUCAGGAACUGCUGCCCCCAUCUUCCUGGGCCUGGUGGUGUUUGGAGUGUUUUGUUUUACGAGGAAGUAGCAAUGUGUGUGGGGGGCAACUAUCUCAGUGUGCUCAGGACUGAGGACAUUCAUAGGAGGAAAGACAUCCAGCGCUAAGCCAGGGCUGUCCUGAUUGGUCCCUCUGAGCACAGUCAUGGGGCUACAAGCAUCUGAGGGACAAACGCAGGCAUUGAGGGUGGGGCGAGGGUUCAAUGACUAUUUUUUUCUGGUCGUGUUGGCUGUGUGGGAGUUGUGACCACAUGACGGCAAGGACAGACCUGAGGAGGUAAGGGGGGGCUGAACCGAAGAAGUUCACACACAAGCUGUGCUCGGAAAUUGCAGCAGACGGCCAUAAAACACGGGAAGACAAGUCCUGCAAACACCUGCCAACGCCCAACUUAUCACACUCAGGAUUUAUACGCAGAGCCCUGGAAGGCACAGCUACCCCACAUCGGGGAAACAUAAACAGAAUAAAUAACAAGCCCCCCUCCUGUAGGACUCUUGAAAAUGUGAAGUAUCACGUAGAGAGGACUUAGAUGAGUUCACUCAAAACUUGGGAGGAGAUGGGUAUUUCAAAGCCCGUUCAGAUUGAAGCAGGUAUUGGAAGCAGUCACAGGAGGGAAACGAAGUGGCUGAGGUCUCUGCUCACUGUGAUUGAGGGGCCCAAUCCUGGGUGGGAGGUGGGCAGUUUAACUUCCAAGAAAUGGGAAAUGUAGGAGGACAGCUGCCAUCUCAGCACAGGGGUUAUGCAGCUUGCAACAUCUGUGUCUAGUUUAAUUGCUGGAGACGGGCCUCCUGCAGAUACACCAGUCAGUACUUACCGUGGUGACUGACUGAGUUGGUCGAUUAUCUGGGGAGUUUCAGAUUCUCUUGAUCUUUUAGGGGAUAUGAUCCCUUCUGGGUGAGUUACCGUAUUACUCUCUGAGAACAUCGGCCAAAUGGAAGAGAAAAAAUUUCAUCUUUACAUCUUUAAAAUGUCAGGUAUAGCAUCUUAAAAAUUCCCUGCAGAGGGCUAAAUAAAUCUUUAGAAAUUAACCUAAUUUAGUUAAUCUGCUGGGAGUGGGAAAGUGCACUAAAACUUUGAAGAGAACCUUCAUAGAAACCUCUUCCUUCAUCUUUGAAGAGAUUCUGUGCCUAGGCCAAGCAGGAAGAAGAUAGGGCCUUGUGUGACAAGGAGGCAUUUGCUGGGCACAUGGGCAGGAGGUGUGAGGGAAAGGGAGAGAGAGCAAGAGCCUGCGAGUAUGGCCUGGAGGGCCCUUGGAGGGAGCGGGAGAGGAGAGCUGCCUGCUACAGUUCCUCAAGUCUGUUCUAGUGUAAGUAUAGCCUCAAAAUAUAUCCCCUUUCAUCAUGCUAACUCAAGUGAGUUUCUGACUUUAGGAUGACAAACAGGGCUACAAGCUGUGCCUAGGCAGUAACACAGGACACCACCAACUUCUGUGUAAGUCUGAGCUGUGGAAUUGAGUAGACCUUUUUUGAACAGAGAAGAAAAAUAAUCUCCUAUAAGGAGAACCUUGACCUGAACAAAGAAUGGAUGGAUUGGAUGACUAGUGACUUCUCAGUGCCUGCUUUCACCAUUUAGUGAACCCUGACGGAAGAAGGACGCCUGCUCACUGACAUGCUGACAGCUUGAUAAGCCGUCCCACACACGCACACACCACUCACCAGACUCCUCUCACACAGUGGCUAGUGUUGAUCUAUCUCCAAAGUUGGCUACUUAGUAUUUCACUACAGAAUACUCAACAAUUAUGAGAGCAAACAGGAACUUUGCAGUGGAGAAGUUGGGAGGAUGCCAUCAGCUAAGUGACCAGCAUUAGAAGCAGCAUCAAGACACAGCGGCCGCAUGCAUCUUCCAAGGUGAGGCUGGAUUUCCUGGCUCUACCCAGGCUGCAGGUGGGCUCACCGUGCACUGCUUACCUCCCAGGCACCAGGAAAACCUGGGUAUACAAAGUGCAAGAAAUAAAUAUUUGAGGAUACUUCAGAUGUGGCCUCCUAAAGACCUUCACAAAGAGGGAUAUACCUAGAUGUUACAAUCCUUGUCAUGAAGUCUCAGAUUAAAAGAAGUUUGGAAUGCGGAAGAGCUGCUCCCCUCUGACAUAUUUCAG